rnacentral:rRNA from 1 species
UACGUAGGGGGCAAGCGUUGUUCGGAAUUACUGGGCGUAAAGGGCUCGUAGGCGGCCAACUAAGUCGGAUGUGAAAUCCCCAGGCUUAACCUGGGAAUUGCAUCCGAUACUGGAUGGCUUGAAUCCGGGAGAGGGAUGCGGAAUUCCAGGUGUAGCGGUGAAAUGCGUAGAUAUCAGGAGGAACACCGAUGGCGAAGGCAGGUCUCUGGGCCGAUACUGACGCUGAGGAGCGAAAGCGUGGGGAGCGAACAGG